ensembl:snRNA U6 U6 spliceosomal RNA
CUGUGUUCACUUCUGCAGCAGAUGUACUAAUAUUGGAACAAUAGAAGAUCAGCAUGGCCCCUGUGCAAGGACGUUAUGCAAUUCAUGAAGUCUUCCAUAUUUUU